CCCAAGACAGAUAAUUUGUUUGUCACAGGAAUGCCUUACUGGAGUGUUUUCUUUCCUCGUCUCUUUAUCUUGAUUUAGAGAAAAUGGUAAUGUGUACAUCCCAUAACUCUUCAGUAAAUCAUUAAUUAGCUAUAGUAACUUUUUCAUUUGAAGAUUUCAGCUGGGCAUGGUAGCUCAUGCCUGUAAUCUCAGCACUUUGGGAGGCUGAGACGGGCAGAUCACCUAAGCCCAGAGUUCAAGACCAGCCUGGGCAACAUGGCAAAACCUCUUAUCUACAGAAAAUACAAAAAUUAGCCAGGCCUGGUGGUGCACACCUGUAGUCCCAGCUACUUAGGAGGCGAGGUGGGAGGAUCGAUUGAGUCCAGGAGGUCAAGGCUGCAGUGAGCCAUGAUUGCAUCACUGCAUUCCAGCCUGGGUGAUAGAACAAGACCUUGUCUCAAAACAAAUUUGGUUUUUCAAGCAUUUUGAGGUUUUGACAAGCUGGCCAAUAUGGUGAAACCCCGUCUCUACUAAAAAUACAAAAAUUAGCUGAGUGUGGUGGCGUACCCCUGCAAUCCCAGCUACUUGAGAGGCUGAGGCAGGAGAAUUACUUGAAUCCAGGAAGUGGAGGUUGCAGUGAGCCAAGAUGGUACCACUGCACUCUAGCCUGGGUGACAGAGCGAGACUCUGUCUCAGAAAAAAAAAGCAAAAAAAAAAGCACAAGCAGAGUGGUAGACACACAAAAUGCUCAAUUCAUUUUUUAAAUGAUUUUUUUCCUUUAUAUCUUACUGCAUAAGCUUUUUUCUUUUUUUUGAGACAAAGUCUUGCUGUGUCACCCAGGCUGGGGUGCAGUGGCGCAGUCAUAGCUCACUGCAACCUUGAACUCCCGGGCUCAUGUGAUCCUCCCACUUCAGCCUCUCAAGUAGCUAGGACUACAGGUGUGCACCACCAUGCCUGACUAACUUUUUUAUUUUUUGUAGAGAGAACGUCUUGCUAUAUUGCCUAGGCUGGUCUUGAACUCUUGGGCUCAAGCAAUCCUCCUGCCUUGGCCUCUCAAGUGUGAGAUUCACAUUCUGUAACCACCAGUGUGACAUGGGUCCUGAACAGUUAGAACAGACUCCAGCCAUUAACCCAGGCAGCUUUCAGGUACGUACUCUGUGGCUAUUGCCCUGUAUGAAAGCCAAAAAGUGAUCCAUUUUCAGAGAUUAAUAUGUGACCACUUCUAUAUUAUAAGGCCAUGGCCAUACUCUUUAUUUUUCUUUUUGUUUUUUUCUUCCAAAGACAGGAUCUCUCUCUGUCAUCCACGCUAGAGUACAGUGGCAUGAACAUGGCUUACUGCAGCCUCAAACUCUUGUCCUGGGCUCAAACAAUCCUCCCACCUCAGCCUCCAAAGUAGAUAGAACUACAGGCAUGCACUACCAUGCCUAAUUAAAAAAAAAAAAAUUUUUUUUUGCAGAGAUGAGAUCUCACUAUUUCCCAGGCUUGUCUGGAACUCCUGGCCUCAAGCGAUCCUCCCACCUUGGCCUCCCAAAGUGUUGGGAUUAUAAGCAUGAGCCACCAUGCCUUGCCAUACACUUUUUUUUUUUUUUUUUUUUUUUUGAGACGGAGUCUGGCUCUGUCACCCAGGCUGCAGUGCAGUGGCGCGAUCUCGGCUCACUGCAAGCUUCACCUCCCAGGUUCGUGCUAUUCUCCUGCCUCAGCCUCCCAAGUAGCUGGGACAACAGGCAUCUGCCACCACAUCCGGCUAAUUUUUUUGUAUUUGUAGUAGAGACGGGCUUUCACCGUGUUAGCCAGGAUGAUCUCGAUCUCCUGACCUCAUGAUUCACCCGCCUCGGCCUCCCAAAGUGUUGGGAUUACAGGCAUGAGCCACCGUGCCCGGCCUGGCCAUACACUUUUAUCACUAUUUACAUACUUACUAAAAUGUUUGGUGGCCUGUAAUAGGAAACAUCAUCCUCAUUUGAUUGACGAAGAAGUCUGAGGAAAUAGGAUUGAACUGGUUCUGUUCUUGUAUUUGAGUAAUCAGUUGUGGAACUGUGGAAGUCAUAUACUCUCUCUGACUUUUGUAAUUACCUUAUGUUGUAUAGUACUUGAUGGUUUGCAAAGUAACCAUCUAUUCUUGCUUAUCUGUGAGUAAGAAUGCCAGGUCUGGAGACAGAAUGUCUGGGUUCAAAUUCUACUCAUCACUUUUUUUUUUCUUUUUUUUUUGAGAUAGAGUCUCGCUUUGUUGCCCAGGCUGGAGUGCAGUGGCGUAAUCUCAGCUCGCUACAACCUCUACCUUCCGGGGUCAAGCGAUUCUCCUGCCUCAGCCUUCCAAGUAGCUAGGACUACAAGUGCGUACCACCACGCCCAGCUAAUUUUUGUAUUUUUAGUAGAGACGGGGUUUCACCAUGUUGGCCAGGCUGGUCUCAAACUCCUGACCUCAAGUGAUCUGCCCACCUCAGCCUCCCAAAGUGCUGGGAUUACAGGCGUGAGCCACUGCGCCCGGCCUACUCAUCACUUACUAGCUAUUUGACCACACAAGUUACUCAACUCCUAUGUCAGUUAUGAAGAUUAAAUUAAAUGAUCCAUUUAAUACAAUAAUACACUUAGAACAAUGUCUAUCAGUAAAUUUUUUCUGUUUUAAAAAACAGGAUCUUACUCUGUCUCCCAGGCUGGAGUGAAGUGGCACGAUUAUAGCUCACUGUAGCUUCAAAAGCCUGGGCUCAAGCAGUCCUCCUGUCUCAGCCUAGCGAGUAGAUAAGACCACAGGCAUAGGUUGGUGUUUGACCUCCUGGCCUCAAGCAGCCUCCCAAAGUGCUGAGAUUACAGGCGUGAGCCACUAUACCCAGCCCAGUGUUAUAUUUUUAUAUAAUCCUAUGAAGUAUCAAGGCAGUUAUUAUCCCUGUUUUACUGCUAAGAAACUUGAAGUUUACAGAGGUAAAUUAUUUGCCCAAACUUAAACUCUGAUCUUGAAUCUGAAUCCCAAGUCCAAUAUUCUUUUCACUGUAUUACAAUAUUUUUACCAUCAACCCUCCAUUCUGUCUGCACAUCAUACAAAUGAGUAUCUCUACAGAGCUUUGAGUUCCUUUUAAACAAAAGAGAUUUUUGUACCCAAUGUUUAGAGUAGUGAUUCUUGGCUC